ACGAACGCUGGCGGCAUGCCUAACACAUGCAAGUCGAACGAGACCUUCGGGUCUAGUGGCGCACGGGUGCGUAACGCGUGGGAACCUGCCCUUAGGUUCGGAAUAACUCCCCGAAAGGGGUGCUAAUACCGGAUAAUGUCUUCGGACCAAAGAUUUAUCGCCUUUGGAUGGGCCCGCGUUGGAUUAGCUAGUUGGUAGGGUAAAAGCCUACCAAGGCGACGAUCCAUAGCUGGUCUGAGAGGAUGAUCAGCCACACUGGGACUGAGACACGGCCCAGACUCCUACGGGAGGCAGCAGUGGGGAAUAUUGGACAAUGGGCGAAAGCCUGAUCCAGCAAUGCCGCGUGAGUGAUGAAGGCCUUAGGGUUGUAAAGCUCUUUUACCCGGGAUGAUAAUAACAGUACCGGGAGAAUAAGCUCCGGCUAACUCCGUG
rnacentral:rRNA from 1 species